AGGACCAGGAGUCAGUGCUGGGGGCUGGGGAAGGAGGCAGGGAACCCAGAGCAAGAUGGGGCACGGCAGAUGGGGAGAACAGGCAGAGGGGUGACCCCCCUGAGAAUUAUCCACCUGGGAUAGCUGCUCCCUGCUACCGGCUCGGGCAUGCUGAGUAACCGCUGGGGGGGAGACCUCGUUCCGGUUUUUGAUACAAUGUAUUUUGAUCAUAUUUCCCUUCCGGCAGCUUCUCCCCCACUUCCCAAUCGAUCCACCUGUAAAGCCCCUGCCCCUGUGUGGAGGCCAGGCCCCAAUCUCCACGGGUAGCUUAGAUGCCGGUCCACCUUGGUUUUUUGAGACAGGGUUUCUUUCUUGGUGCAAAGCUAAUUCAGCUGGACUGGCCAGCCAGUGAGCCCUAGGCAUCUCCCUGCCUGCCCCUCCCAGCCCUGGGGUUAGAAAGGCACGCCGCCACACCCAGAUUUGAGGCUAAGGAUUCGGAGACAGCCUCACUCAGGAACUCGUAAGACGUUUGCAUCUCAAGCCCCGCCCACACCCACUGAAUCAGAACCUGCCCCUUUCCCCGUGCCCUGGGAGUUACCCAUGUCGCAAAGCACCUCGUUGCCUUUCGUAUGAUCCAGAACUGGAACGGGUGUGGAAGACAUCCGUUAAGUGUCCUCAAUGGCACAGCUAAAGAGACAGGACGUUGUCCUUCUGGGUACAAAGCCUACCGAGCCUACUUCUCUGGGAAGAAAGUGAAUGGAAGAAGCCAUCUGGAGUCUGGCGUCAAGAACUGUAAAAAUAAGUAAAAUUGCCUUAAAUUCCCAAGUAAAAUGUCCCACCGUCCUGCUCCUCACACACGGUUCAUUCUGUACUCGGAAUCCCCUGCCCCCUGAAGUGUGGCAGCUUCUUACAGCAGGCUCGCCCAUGCUGCACCAGGAAGGAACUGGACUAAUGUCCCCGUGAACCUCACCUCAUGCUGUCCCUUAGUGUCCCCUCACUGAGGAGAGGUGAGAUGAUGAUAGAAAGACUCAGGGAGGCACAAAGCUUGGGGAGGAGGAUCCUGGGAAAGCUCGGGCAGCCUGCUGUCUCAGCUGGGCAGAUAGUCAACCAACGGGGAGUGUGCGUGGCAGUGCGGGUGAUCAUGACACCCCAAUCCGUUUUCUAGCCAGCCCUCAGCAGCCAAUGAAGGGCUUG